CUGUGUUGUGCUAUUGCCCUCAUCUAUAAGGUUCCAGAUGACUUGCUGUUGUGUCCAGUUUCCAAGCCACAAAAUGAAAAACUGAAGGGACAGGAGGAGCACAACCCUUUCCUUAAGGGCUUGCCCUGGCAUGUGAAUGGCUAUACAAGCUGUGAUACAACCAAACCACAGAAUGCCACUUAGAAAUAUAAAGGAACAGACUACUGAUACAUAAAACAACUUGGAUGAACCUCAGAGCAAUUAUCCUCAGUGGAAAAAGCCAACCUACAAUGAUUACCUAGUGAAUGAUUUCAUUUACGUAACAUUCUCGAAAUGCCAAGACCAUAGAAAUGGAAAACAGAAAAAUCAAGCUUUGUCUGAAGACCAAGUUUAUUCCAAGGAGGGAUCAAUUUCCAUCUUUUU
rnacentral:lncRNA from 1 species